rnacentral:rRNA from 1 species
AUAUUGGUCAAUAGCCUAACGGCUGAACCAGCAACUUGGAAGAAUGUAUAACGAAUAAGUCGUAUAAAAUUCUAGGUAGAAGAAUGAUAGUGACAAUUUUCUAUCUAUAAGUCUUGACCAAAUUACGUGCCAGCAGUCGCGGUAACACGUAGAAGACUAGUGUUAUUCAUCUUUAUUAGGUUUAAAGGGUACCUAGACGGAAAAUCAAGCCAUAAUAGGGACUAAUUUUCUAGAGUUUUAUGAGAGAAGGGGUGAAUUUCCGGAGGAAAGUUGAUAUUUAGUGAUACUGGAAGGACGGGUAACGGCGAAGGCAACCUUGUAUGUAAAAACUGACGUUGAGGGACGAAGCCUUGGGUAACGAGAAGGAUUAGAUACCCUAGUAGUCCUUGGAGACAAUUAUGAAUGUCAUAGGCUAGAUAAUUUAGCCUAUAAAUGAAAGUGUAAGCAUUCCACCUCAUGAGUAAAGCGGCAACGCCCAAAUUGAAAUCAUUAGACCGUUUCUGAAACCAGUAGUGAAGUAUGUUAUUUAAUUCGAUGAUCCGCGAAUAACCUUACCACAAUAUGCAUUGAAUAUUAUUCAAUUAUUACAAGCGCUGCACGGCUGUCUUCAGUUAAUGUCGUGAGAUUUUGGUUCGUUCCUGUA